GGGCCCCGGACCGCCGCGGCUCGCCUCGGCUCGCCUAGACACGCCUAGGCGCCCUCCGGCUCCGCCCUAGCCGCCGCGUCCCAGCUCGAGCUCCAGCGCCCGCUCAGGCCCCACUCGACCCUCUCGGGCCUCGGCUACUUGGACUGCGGCGGAAGAUGGCGGCUCCGGUGACUCCCGCGGCUCGGGCCGAGGAUUCUGAGGCGGCGCUCAAUGCCGCCCUGGCUGACGUGCCCGAACUGGCCAGACUCCUGGAGAUCGACCCGUACUUGAAGCCCUACGCCGUGGACUUCCAGCGCAGGUAUAAGCAGUUUAGCCAAAUUUUGAAGAACAUUGGAGAAAACGAAGGUGGUAUUGAUAAGUUUUCCAGAGGCUAUGAAUCAUUUGGCGUCCACAGAUGUGCUGAUGGUGGUUUAUACUGCAAAGAAUGGGCCCCGGGAGCAGAAGGAGUUUUUCUUACUGGAGAUUUUAAUGGUUGGAAUCCAUUUUCAUACCCAUAUAAAAAACUGGACUAUGGAAAAUGGGAGCUGUAUAUCCCACCAAAGCAGGAUAAAUCUGUACUCGUGCCUCAUGGAUCCAAAUUAAAGGUAGUUAUUACUAGUAAAAGCGGAGAGAUCUUGUAUCGUAUUUCACCGUGGGCGAAGUAUGUGGUUCGUGAAGGUGAUAAUGUGAAUUAUGAUUGGAUACACUGGGAUCCAGAACACUCAUAUGAAUUUAAGCAUUCCAGACCAAAGAAGUCACGGAGUCUAAGAAUUUAUGAAUCUCAUGUGGGAAUUUCUUCCCAUGAAGGAAAAGUAGCUUCUUAUAAACAUUUUACAUGCAAUGUACUACCAAGAAUCAAAGACCUUGGAUACAACUGCAUUCAGUUGAUGGCAAUCAUGGAGCAUGCUUACUAUGCCAGCUUUGGUUACCAAAUCACAAGCUUCUUUGCAGCUUCCAGCCGUUAUGGAACACCUGAAGAGCUAAAAGAACUAGUAGACACAGCUCAUUCCAUGGGUAUCAUAGUCCUCUUAGAUGUGGUACACAGCCAUGCUUCAAAAAAUUCAGCAGAUGGAUUGAAUAUGUUUGAUGGGACAGAUUCCUGUUAUUUUCAUUCCGGACCUAGAGGGACUCAUGAUCUUUGGGAUAGCAGAUUGUUUGCCUACUCCAGCUGGGAAGUUUUAAGAUUCCUUCUGUCAAACAUAAGAUGGUGGCUGGAAGAAUAUCGCUUUGAUGGAUUUCGUUUUGAUGGUGUUACAUCCAUGCUUUAUCAUCACCAUGGAGUGGGCCAAGGUUUCUCGGGUGAUUACAGUGAAUAUUUUGGACUACAAGUAGAUGAAGAUGCCUUGACUUACCUCAUGUUGGCAAAUCAUUUGGUUCACACGCUGUGUCCCGAUUCUGUAACAAUAGCUGAGGAUGUAUCAGGAAUGCCAGCUCUGUGCUCUCCAAUUUCCCAGGGAGGGGGUGGUUUCGACUAUCGACUAGCCAUGGCAAUUCCAGAUAAGUGGAUUCAGCUACUUAAAGAGUUUAAAGAUGAAGACUGGAACAUGGGCAAUAUAGUAUACACACUCACAAACAGGCGCUACCUUGAAAAGUGCAUUGCUUAUGCAGAGAGCCAUGAUCAGGCAUUGGUUGGGGAUAAGUCGCUGGCAUUUUGGUUGAUGGAUGCCGAAAUGUAUACAAACAUGAGUGUCCUGGCUCCUUUUACUCCAGUUAUUGAUCGUGGAAUACAGCUUCAUAAAAUGAUUCGACUCAUUACGCAUGGGCUUGGUGGAGAAGGCUAUCUCAAUUUCAUGGGUAAUGAAUUUGGGCAUCCUGAAUGGUUAGACUUCCCAAGAAAAGGAAAUAAUGAGAGUUACCAUUAUGCCAGACGGCAGUUUCAUUUAACUGGCGAUGACCUUCUUCGCUACAAGUUCCUAAAUAAUUUUGACAGGGAUAUGAAUAGAUUGGAAGAAAGAUGUGGUUGGCUUUCAGCUCCACAGGCCUAUGUGAGUGAAAAACAUGAAGGCAAUAAGAUCAUUGCUUUUGAAAGAGCAGGUCUUCUUUUCAUUUUCAACUUCCAUCCAAGCAGGAGCUACACUGACUACCGAGUUGGAACAGCAUUGCCAGGGAAAUAUCCUUUUUGUUACCAGUGAAUAUGACUGUCCACAUUCACUUCUUUACUACAUUAUAGGACAAAAAAAAAAAGACUAAGGUUGAUCUUGAUGACGGAAACAUUCAUUUUCCUCAUCUGAAAAAUGAGGAACUUAAAAUAGUUGAUGGAUACAUCUUUGCUCAGCUCAGUUAUACUGAAUUAUUCCUAAGCUUCAUUUUGGCUUUAAACAGAGAGGUUAGUGCAGACGUGGUUCACAUCAAAGGAAAGAGCUGUGGAUCUUGCUGUCCUGAAGGUUUCAAUAUGGAGCCCUGCUCUCCAGGUCCCCACAUCCACCAACACAGAAGACAGUAAAUGAAGUCUCCCGAGAUAAUAGCAGAGGCUCUGGACUUAGGGGACCAGGCCUUAAAAAGUGUAACUGAAUAUUUCUUAAAUAAUAUUUCUUAAAUAAUAUUUAGAUCUAGUAAGCAAUAUGGGAGACGACUGUAGUUUUACUCUAUGAAAAUAUUUUGUAAGUUACCUCUGAGACUUGUUUCUUUUCCUCCACUCAGUGGGAGAGAGCAAACAGUAGUUGUAAUGAUAGCGUCCUUCCUUUUUCUGUUUCUUCAAGACACAGCAUACCUUUGUAGGCCUGAAUUGGUAAGAAGGCAAGGCAGGGGAGGUGUGAACAAUAGACAUAAGCAGGGAGAAUGUUUUUGAUGUUCUCUGUGUGUUCAUUUACUCCUUCUUUCAUGCAUUUUACAGAUACUUACUGAGUACCUAUUUGCUGAACACCUCUGUGACAGCUCUGAGCUGAUUACUAUAAAUAUAGGAAUUCUCUUAGCAGAUACAGUCACUGCCCUCAUAGAGCUUUUAAACUAGUAAAGAAGAUAAAUAUUAGUCAUUGUAAGUGUGAUAAUUAUUACAAAGGAAAUGCACAUUAUAUUUUAAAGACACAUUACUAGAUCCAUGAAAAAAAUGACAGAUUCAGGACCUAGCAACAAAUCAGCACAAUUUUUCAAGCAGGCAAUAGAAAUAAUGUGCUUGUCCCCUAAAGCCCUAACAAUGAUUAGCAUCUGCCACCUGAGCAAGGUGCCUGAUGCCAACAUGAAGUCCUGUGUGUCAGGGUGGUUCCAGCUACAAUAAAGGAAACCCUCCCACUCAGCUGGCUCAAAUCAUAAGGAAAAGGUAUUUGUCACAUAAUAAAAACCCUGAAGUCUAGUUUCCCCAGCACUGUGACAGUAUCAAGUUCCCCAGUUCAUUCUUUUUGCUUUCAAUUCUCAGGGUGCCAGCAAUGUCCAAACGGUGGCACCUGUUAAUAAUCAUUAGAUAAGAGCCAUGACUCCAAGUGUCACCCACCUUCAGAUAACAACAAAAUGCAAACAGAUUUUUUUGUGUCUCUCUUCAAGAAUGAAGUCACUUCUUUAGCAAAAUUUCUUUCAUAUUUUAUUGACCAGAGUUGGGUCUCACAUCUCCCAGAAAAAUUUUCUAGGAAGAAGAACGAUAUCAACAUGAGUGACUUAAUCAGGAAUUACCCCCAAGUCUCAGGAAGACAUCCCUUGAUGAAGUGGACACCCAGACAGAAUUUUAGUCUGACAGUAAGAAGAAAACAGUCAGUACUUUUUACACUGUCCUUGAUCCUUAAGUGGAGGGAAAGAUGUAUAAAACCCAAACUGUGCUGUAAGUCUUAAUGCAAUAAAUGGAAAAGGAACAAGGAGCAAGAAUGUUCCAUGGGAGAACAGAGGACAAGAAAAAUGAAAAAAAUAAGUGGCAGGGGAGGAGGGGAGAGAUACUGAGAUUAAAACAAAGACUUUUAAGCCUAGACUUGGGAAAUGGACAAGAUUAUAGCAGGAAAAAAUGAAGAAAGCCAUUUCAGCUAUUAAAAAUCAUAGACUAUUCUUAGAUAAUGGACAGUACAAUGGAUUAAUUGGAGAAUGAUGACUAUAGAAAGAAGUAUUAAGAGAUAAAGCUGAAAACAUAGAUGGAGAUCACAUAAUAGAAGAUUUUAAUGCCAUAUUAAUUAGUCUUUUUUCUAUGAUUUUAUAGUGAGUUGCUGCAGGUUUUUGACUAGGGAGCUACUUGAUAAGAAUGUAGGCUUUAGUAAAAGUUCUCAUGUACCAGUGUGUAAGGGAGCUUUCAUGAGGAAAGAGAUUGGAAGUACAGAUAUUAAUUAUGAGAAAUUGCAGUACACCUAAAAGAUAAUUAGGGCAUGAGCUAAAGUAAUGUCAAUAGAAUAGAAAAAGUAUACGAAGCCCUUUCUUGUAGUGAAGGAACUCAGAAUCUGUUUGGACGUGGAGUAUAGAAGGGAAAAUGUAAGGUUUCACUUUGAACAAUAGAAAGAAUGCUGGUGGUAUUAUUCCUGAGGAUAGCAAAGCCAGGAGAGGUAACCAGUUGGGGUAGUAGAAAAUAUAAAUUUGAGCAGGAUGGUUGAAUAGAACUCUCCAGCCAUUGUCCUCCCUACAGGAGCACCAAAUGGAACAACUAUCCGCACAAGAAAGUACCUUCAUAAGAACCCAAAAUCAGUCAGCGAUCAUAGUACCUCAUUUUAACAUUAUUUCAAGCAAAGAGGCACAGAAGAGGAUAAGAAAGACAGUCUCGAAUUCCCUAUACCAACCCUCCCCCACCCCUUGGCAGCACCACGUGGGACAUGGAAAAAGAGAAUAUGUUUGCUUGGGGGAGGGAAAACACAGUGAUUGUGGGACUUUGCAUUGGAACUCAUUGCUGCCCUGUCACAGCAGAAGGUAACAUGGGCCGAAUUCAGCCAGCACCCGCAAAGAGAGCCUUUAGACCAGCCCUAGGCAGAGGGGUAUUGUCUGCCCCAGCAUUCAGAACCUGAGUUCCAGCUACAGCCAACACUGCACGCUAAAGUACCCUGGGGUUCCAGAUAAAUUUAAAAGUCUAGGCCACAAGGACUACAGUUCCUGAGCAAGUCCUUGUGUCGUACUGGGCUUAGAGCCAGUGGACAUGGGGUACACAAGAAAGGAGAGGGAAGAGUAAAGAGGACUUUUUCUUAUAGCUUGGAUACCAGCUCAGCCACAGUAAAAUAAAACACCAAGCAGAGACCUGAAGCCCCUGUUUCAGGCCCCAGCUCUCAUAAGACAUUUCUAGACCCACGCUAUGCCUUAAGGGAACUUGCUUCCCUGAAGGGAAGAACUCAGUCCUGGCAGAAUUCUUUAAUUAAUGACUGAGGAACACUUGGACCUUGAGUAAACAUCAACAGUAGCCAAGUAGCAAUUGCCACAAGCCUUUGAUGAGACCCAGAACCAUGUUGGCUUUAGAUGUAACCCAGCACAUUCCCAGAUACGUUGGCCAUGGGAAGAGACUCCUGCCUGAGGAAAGGAGAGGGAAGAGUGAAAAGGACUUUAUCUUGCAACUUGGGGAUCAGCUCAGCCACAGUAAAAGAAAGCACCAAGCAGACUCCUAAAGCCUCCAGUUUUAGGCCUUAGCUGCUAGCUGGCGUUUCUUAACCUUCUCUGAGCCAGAAGGGAACCCACUGCCCUGAAAGGAGAUACCUAGGUCUGACACGAUUCACCAACUGCUGACUAAGGAGCCCUUGGGCUUUGAAUAAACAUCAGCAGUAACCAGGCAGUGGGUGCUGUGGCCUUGGGGUGGUGGUGGCCAUGGAGAGAGAGGCUCCUUCUGCUUGAGGAAAGGAAAAAGAAGAGUGAAAAGGACAUUGCUUGCAAUGUGGGUGCCACCUGAGCCACAGUAAAAUAUGGCAUGAAGUAGGUUUCUAAAGUUCCUAGUGCCAGGCCAUAGCGCCAGCAUGGCAUUCCUAGAACUACCCUGGGCCAGAAGGGAACAUACUGCCCUAAAGGGAAAGACCCAGGCCUGGCAGGUUGUACCACUUGCUGACUAAAGAACCCUUGGCCUUUGAAUAAACAUCACUGGUACCCAGGCAAUAGUCACGAGAGACUUUGGGUGAGGCCUAGUACUGUGCUGGCUUCAAGUGUGACCCAGCACAGUCCUAGUGGUGUUGGCAAUGAACUUGCUCGCAUCACCCCUUCCUCCAAUUCCAGGCAGCUCAGGAUAGAGUGAGAGACGACCUUUGUUUGGGGUAAAGUAAAGGAAGAGAACAAGAGAUUCUGCCUGAUAAUCCAGUGAAUUAUCUCAGAUCUUAACUAAGACCAUCAAGGUAGUACCUCUAUGAGUCAACAAGAGUGGAGCCCCUUAAUACAGAUACCAGUGCAAUGACCAAAGACUUAGAUCACAACACCUAAGUCUUCAAAUACUUAGAAAACCUUCCCAAGGACCAAUAUAAACAAGGCUGACCUGUGAAGGCUACAAUAAAUACCUAAUUAUUCAAUGCCCAGACACUGGCAAACAUCCACGAGCAUCACGACCUUCCAGGAAAUCAUGACCUCACCAGACAAACUAAAUAAAUCACCAGUAACCAGUCCUGGAGUGACAGAGAUAUGUGACCUUUCUGACAAAAAAAAAAAAAAGAAGAAGAAAUAGCAGUUUUGAGGAAGCUUGUGAAAUGCAGUUUAACAGAGAAGGAAUUCAGAAUUCUAUCUGAUAAAUUUAACAGAGAGAUUGAAAUACUUUUAAAAGUAUUUCGUUUGUGUUGCAUGAACUAACUACAACAGCUUUUUAAGACAUAGACAAAAUUAUAAUAAGAUAUAAAUACAAACAAAAAGUUAAAAUGUUGGCAAGAUGAAGUUAAAGGGUAGAGUUUUUAUCAGUUUUUCUCUUUUCUUGUUUGUUUUUGCAAUCAUAGUCAAGUUGUCAUCAGUUUAAAAUGGUGGAUUAUAUGAUGUUACUUGCAAGCCUCAUGAGAACCACAAAUCAAAAAACCUACCACAGAUAGACAAAAAAUAAAAAGCAAGAAAUUAAAACAUAUCACCAAUCAAUUUCACAACAAGGAAAACAAGAAGGAAGACAACAAGAUAACCAGAAAACAAAUAAUAAAAUGGCAGCAGUAAGUCCUUAUCAGUAAUAACAUUAAAUGUAAAUGGACUGAACUCUCCAAUCAAAAACAUAGAGUACCUUAAUGGAUAAAAAUAUAAGACCUAAAUAUCUGCUGCCUACAAUAAACAUACUUCACCUAUAAAAGCACUCAUAGACUAGCAAAUAAAGGGAUGGAAAAAGAUAUUCUAUGCAAACAGAAAGCAUAAAACAGCAAGAGUAGCUGCAUGAAUAUCAGAUAAUAUAGAUUUUGAGACAAAACCUAUAAAAAGAGACAAAUAAGGUCAUUACAUAACGACAAAGGGUCAAUUCAACAAGAGAAUAUAAUAAUUAGAUAUGCACCCCACAAUGGAGCAUCCAUAUAUAUAAAGCAAAUAUUAUUAGAGCUAAAGAGAGAGAUACACCUCAAUACAAUAACAGCUGGAGACUUCAAUACCCCGCUUUCACCUUUGGACAAAUCUUUCAGACAGGAAAUCAACAAAGAAACGUGAGAUGUAAUCUGCACUAUAGACCAAAUGCACCUCAUACAUAGUUACAGAACAUUUCAUACAAUGGCUGCAGAGGGCAUGUUCUCCUCAGCACAUGGAACAUUCUUUUUUUUUUUUUAUUUCAUUUUGUUUUGUUUUGUGAUUAUGUCUUUUUUUUUUAAUUAUACUUUAAGUUUAGGGUACAUGUGCAUAACGUGCAGGUUUGUUACAUAUGUAUACAUGUGCCAUGUUGGUGUGCUGCACCCAUUAACUCGCCAUUUAACAUUAGUUAUAUCUCCUAAUGCUAUCCCUCCCCCCACCCCCCACAACAGGCCCCGCUGUAUGAUGUUCCCCUUCCUGUGUCCAUGUGUUCUCAUUGUUCAAUUCCCACCUGUGAGUGAGAACAUGCAGUGUUUGGUUUUUUGUCCUUAUGAUAGUUUACUGAGAAUGAUGGUUUCCAGCUUCAUCCAUGACCCUACAAAGGACAUGAACUCAUCAGUUUUUAUGGCUGCAUAGUAUUCCAUGGUGUAUAUGUGCCACAUUUUCUUAAUCCAGUCUAUCAUUGUUGGACAUUUGGGUUGGUUCCAAGUCUUUGCUAUUGUGAAUAGUGCUGCAAUAAACAUACGUGUGCAUGUGUCUUUAUAGCAUCAUGAUUUAUAAUCCUUUGAGUAUAUACCCAGUAAUGGGAUGGCUGGGUCAAAUGGUAUUUCUAGUUCUAGAUCCCUGAGGGAUCGCCACACUGAUUUCCACAAUGGUUGAACUAGUUUACAGUCCCACCAACAGUGUAAGAGCAUUCCUAUUUCUCCACAUCCUCUCCAGCACCUGUUGUUUCCUGACUUUUUAAUGAUGACCAUUCUAACUGGUGUGAGAUGGUAUCUCAUUGUGGUUUUGAUUUGCAUUUCUCUGAUGGCCAGUGAUGAUAAGCAUUUUUUCAUGUGUCUUUUGGCUGCAUAAAUGUCUUCUUUUGAGAAGUGUCUGUUAAUAUCCUUCACUCAGUUGUUGAGGGGGUUGUUUUUUUCUUGUAAAUUUGUUUGAGUUCACUGUAGAUUCUGGAUAUUAGCCUUUUGUCAGAUGAGUAGAUUGCAAAAAUUUUCUCCCAUUGUGUAGGUUGCCUGUUCACUCUGAUGGUAGUUUCUUUUGCUGUGCAGAAGCUCUUUAGUUUAAUUAGAUCCCAUUUGUCAAUUUUGGCUUUUGUUGCCAUUGCUUUUGGUGUUUUAAACAUGAAGUCCUUUCCCAUGCCUAUGUCCUGAAUGGUAUUGCCUAGGUUUUCUUCUAGGGUUUUUAUGGUUUUAGGUCUAACAUUUAAAUCUUUAAUCCAUCUUGAAUUACUUUUAGUAUAAGGUGUAAGGAAGGGAUCUAGUUUCAGCUUUCUACAUAUGGCUAGCCAGUUUUCCCAGCACCAUUUAUUAAAUAGGGAAUCCUUUCCCCAUUGCUUGUUUUUGUCACGUUUGUCAAAGAUUAGAUGGUUGUAGAUAUGUGGCAUUAUUUCUAAGGGCUCUGUUCUCUUCCAUUGGUCUAUAUCUCUGUUUUGGUACCGGUAUCAUGCUGUUUUGGUUACUAUAGCCUUUUAGUAUAGUUUGAAGUCAGGUGGCGUGAUGACUCCAGCUUUGUUCUUUUAACUUAGGAUUGACUUGGUGAUCCGGGCUCUUUUUUGGUUCCAUAUGAACUUUAAAGUAGUUUUUUCCAAUUCUGUGAAGAAAGUCAUUGGUAGCUUGAUGGGGAUGGCAUUGAAUCUAUAAUUACCUUGGGCAGUAUGGCCAUUUUCACAAUAUUGAUUCUUCCUACCCAUGAGCAUGGAAUGCUCUUCCAUUUGUUUGUAUCCUCUUUUAUUUCAUUGAGCAGUGGUUGUAGUUCUCCUUAAAGAGGUCCUUAACAUCCCUUAUAAGUUGGAUACCUAGGUAUUUUAUUCUCUUUGAAGCAAUUGUGAAUGGGAGUUCACUCAUGAUUGGGCUCUCUGUUUGUCUGUUAUUGGUGUAUGAGAAUGCUUGUGAUUUUUGCACAUUGAUUUUGUAUCCUGAGACUUUGCUGAAGUUGCCUAUCAGCUUAAGGAGAUUUUGGGCUGAGACAGUGCGGUUUUCUAGAUAUGCAACAAUGUCAUCUGCAAACAGGGACAAUUUGACUUCCUCUUUUCCUAAUUGAAUACCCUUUAUUUCCUUCUCCUGCCUGAUUGCCCUGGCCAGAACUUCCAACACUGUGUUGAAUAGGAGUGGUGAGAGAGGGCAUCCCUGUCUUGUGCCAGUUUUCAAAGGGAAUGCUUCCAGUUUUUGCCCAUUCAGUAUGAUAUUGGCUGUGGGUUUGUCAUAAACAAAGACACAACAUACCAGAAUCUCUGGGACACAUUCAAAGCAGUGUGUAGAGGGAAAUUUAUAGCACUAAAUACCCACAAGAGAAAGCAGGAAAGAUCUAAAAUUGACACCCUAACAUCACAAUUAAAAGAACUAGAGAAGCCAGAGCAAACACAGUCAAAAGCUAGCAGAAGGCAAGAAAUAACUAAGAUCAGGGCAGAACUGAAGGAAAUAGACACACAAAAAACCCUUCAAAAAAUCAAUGAAUCCAGGAGCUGGUUUUUUGAAAAGAUCGACAAAAUUGAUAGACCGUUAGCAAGACUAAUAAAGAAGAAAAGAGAGAAGAAUCAAAUAGAUGCAAUAAAAAAUGAUAAAGGGGAUAUCACCACCGAUCCCACAGAAAUCCAAGCUACUCUCAGAGAAUACUAUAAACACCUCUACGCAAAUAAACUAGAAAAUCUAGAAGAAAUGGUUAAAUUCCUCGACACAUACACUCUCCCAAGACUAAACCAGGAAGAAGUUGAAUCUCUGAAUAGACCAGUAACAGGCUCUGAAAUUGGGUAAUAAUUAAUAGCUUACCAACCAAAAAAAGUCCAGGACCAGAUGGAUUCACAGCCGAAUUCUACCAGAGGUACAAGGAGGAGCUGGUACCAUUUCUUCUGAAACUAUUCCAAUCAAUAGAAAAAGAGGGAAUCCUCCCUAACUCAUUUUAUGAGGCCAGCAUCAUCCUGAUACCAAAGCCUCACAGAGACACAACAGAAAAAGAGAAUUUUAGACCAAUAUCCCUGAUGAACAUCGAUGAAAAAAUCCUCAGUAAAAUACUGGCAAACCGAGUCCAGCAGCACAUCAAAACACUUAUCCACCAUGAUCAAGUGGGCUUCAUCCCAGGACGCAAGGCUGGUUCAACAUACACAAAUCAAUAAAUGUAAUCCAGUAUAUAAACAGAACCAAAGACAAAAACCACAUGAUUAUCUCAAUAGACGCAGGAAAGGCCUUUGACAAAAUUCAACAGCCGUUCAUGCUACAAACUCUCAAUAAAUUAGGUAUUGAUGGAACAUUCUUAAGAAUAGACCAUAUGUUAGGCCACAAAGCAAGUCCUAAAAUAUUCAAAAAAGUUGAAAUAAUAUCAAGCAUCUUCUCUGACCAAAAUGUAAUAAAACCAUAAAUUAAUAACAAGAAUUUUAGAAACUAUACAAACACAUUCAAAUAAAACAGUAUAUUCCUGAAUGGCCAUAUACCAAUGACCAUAUCAAUCCAAGGCUAGGUCAAGAAAGAAAUUAAGAAUCCCUAUCAAAAUACCAAUGAUAUUUGUCAAAUAAAUGGAAAAACAAUCCUAAAAUUUACUUGAAAUCAUAAAAGACCCAGAAUAGCAAAAGACAUGUUGCACAAAAAGAACAAAGCUGGAGCAAUCACAUUACCUGACUUCAAAUUAUACUACAGAGCUAUAGUGACCAAAAGAGCACGGUAAUGCCAUAAAAACAGACACAAAUACCAGUAGAACAGAAUAUAAAACCAGAAAUCAAUCCAUGUAUGUAUAGCGAACUCAUUUUCAACAAAGGUACCAAGAACACACAAUGGGGAAAGGACAGUUUCCUCAAUAGACGGUGCUGGGAAAACUGAAUAUCCUUAUGUGGAAAAAUGAAGCUAGAUCCCUGUCUCUUAUCAUGUACAAAAAGCAAAUCAAAAUGGAUUAAAGACUGAAAUCUUAGACAUAGUUUAUGCCUAAACUAAGCAUAGGCAAUCAAAGCAAAAAUCUACAAAUGAGAGCAAGUUAAAAAGCUUCUGCACAACAAA